CUGAAACCCACUAAACCCAAGAUGGCCACAAGAGGGACCUCUGGUCGUCCUCACUGCUACACUCCCACCAGCGCCAUGACAGUUUAUAAAUGCCCUGGCAAUGUCAGGAAGUUAGCCUAUGUGGUGGUCUAAAAACAGAAGGCAUGAAUAAUCCACCCCUUGUUUAGCACAUAAUCAAGAAAUAACCGUAAGAAUGUGCAACCAGCAGCCCUUGGGGCUGCUCUGUCUAUGGAGUGGCCAUUCUUUUAUUCCUUUGCUUUCCUAAUAAACUUGCUUUCACUUUACAGACUUGCCCUGAAUUCUUUCUUGCGCGAGAUCUAAGAACCCUCUCUUGGGGUCUGGAUGAGGACCACCUUCCUGUAACAUCUUUCUGGCAACCACAGAAGGGACACAAAGGCUACCUUUGGCUUGGCCCCCAGGGCUAGGGUCCAGCCGCCGGGUCACUAGGACCACUCAAAGAAAGGGAACACAAAAGCCUCACGUGCCAGCAAAAGGGGUCUCUCUGUGUCACCCAGGCUGGAGGUCAAUGACGCCAUCACCUCUCAUUGCCGCCUCAACCUCCUGAGCUCAAAGGAUACUCUCGCCUCAGCUCCUCAAGUAGCUGUAACCACAGUUCUGCUGAUGUAAGCCAUGCUCUGCUGAUCUCAACGGAGUGUACCUAUGCAUCUGCAGUCAGCUGCCACGUAAUCUGCAGCUGGUUUAUCUAGGAUGGCCUCAUUCUUACGUCUUACGUCUGGCAAUUGGAGAUAGAUGUGAGUAAUAUUGAUGAACGAAGAAAACACAGUAAGACAUCAUGGAAACAUGUUGAUUUAAGUCCUAAUCAUGGAGUUAAGAAACAGUGGCUUUUGAGUAAUGAUGAUAUCAGAACAAGAGUAAGUUAAAAGUACCAGAAAGAAAGUAAUUGAAUUUGUCGUAACUAACUUCUGUCAAUAACUGUCUCUAAAACUUGGCCCUAAUUUACAUAAAUUGUAUUAAAAAUGUUCAAAUACUUGGUUAUAAUCAACUCCAAAACUGCAAAAUACUGCUUUUCUCCUAGUGAUUUAUUAUCUAGGCUUCUAGUCUUUGGAGUGAGUUCAAGGGGUGUGGAGAGGGCUUCUAAAUUGUCAGUGCUUUCAACAGCAUAUGUUGUCUGUGGAAUCCUGAGACCCUUGAUGAUGUAGAAAUUUGUAUUAGAAAUGGGAUCAUACAAAACACCAAACCAAAUCAAAACAAAAGACAGAAUGAAAAAGGAAUCCUACCUUUAGUUAUAAGAAAAAUAUGUCACACUUUCAGAGCACUAAAGUGUAGUCAGUCUGAAUUGCUUCACUCCUGAAUAUAAUAUAUAUAAAUUUUUAUGGUCCUAUUUGAUGUAAGUGAUGUAAUUCUAUAACCUAUUAUUGAUAGUGUUUUUCCUUAUCUGGAUUUUAUAUAGCCAAAGCUAAAAAUGUUCUUGUGAGUUUGAGUUGGUUAAACAAAUAAAUUUGACAUUGAACCAUAUUUCUU
rnacentral:lncRNA from 1 species